UUGCGCCCGUCAGGAGAGAGUCCCCUUCGCGGGGGCCGCCGAAGGCGCAGGGACACCCCGAACGCUCAGGCAAAAGGACUGGCAAGCGCCU
rfam:Acidovorax sp. CF316 PMI14_contig_642.642, whole genome shotgun sequence.